rnacentral:rRNA from 1 species
AUGGAUCCCACUAAAGGGAAGGGCUACUUGUCUUAUGAUAAUCUGUUGGUGAAAAGAGCUUCAACUCAUCAGGCAAUUGUUGAACCGAAGUGGAGUCCCCCUGGCCAUGGGUGGGUUAAACUGAUCACUGAUGGGUCGUUUGUGGAUAGCGAGGCAGCAGGUGCUGGUAUGAUUCUUCGGGAUUGGAGGGGCUCGGUCAUUUUUUCUGUGUGCAGAUCAUUAUACUCUUGUAGAGAUGCGGUUGAAGCUGAAUUGUGUGGAAUUAUGGAAGGUCUAUCCCUGGCCAUUCAAAGAUCGGGCCUUCCAAUUGCCAUUGAAUCAGAUUCGAGGUUGGCGGUGUCUUUGAUCUCGUCUGGUGAAGUUGAUCGCUCGGUUUAUGCCUCCUUGGUGAAUGAAAUUAGACUUCUUUUACGUCUAAGACAAACUUGUAUUACUCCUGUCUCACGUGCUCAGAAUAAAGCUAGCGAUAGUUUAGCCAGGUUUGCUCAAGUAGAAGGCCGGACUAUGACCUGGUUAGGUUCUGGACCAGAUGAAGUCUUGGGUUUUGCCCGUGAUGAUUGUAAAGACUUUACUAUUUGA